rnacentral:rRNA from 1 species
CUGCGGCAGCGAACGUAUCACCCAAGACAACUUUACGGAGUUGACGAUUGACGGAGCGAAGCGACGUCAAAGCGUUCAUUAAAGUCGAGUUGGCUUAGGGAUACGUUCGUUGGGUAGGGGAGCGUUCUGUAAGCCUGUGAAGGUGUGUCGUGAGGCAUGCUGGAGGUAUCAGAAGUGCGAAUGCUGACAUAAGUAACGAUAAAGCGGGUGAAAAGCCCGCUCGCCGGAAGACCAAGGGUUCCUGUCCAACGUUAAUCGGGGCAGGGUGAGUCGACCCCUAAGGCGAGGCCGAAAGGCGUAGUCGAUGGGAAACGGGUUAAUAUUCCCGUACUUGGUGUUACUGCGAAGGGGGGACGGAGAAGGCUAUGUUGGCCGGGCGACGGUUGUCCCGGUUUAAGCGUGUAGGUGUGUGUUCCAGGUAAAUCCGGUUCACUUUAACACUGAGGCGUGACGACGAGGCACUACGGUGCUGAAGCAACAAAUGCCCUGCUUCCAGGAAAAGCCUCUAAGCAUCAGGUAACAUCAAAUCGUACCCCAAACCGACACAGGUGGUCAGGUAGAGAAUACCAAGGCGCUUGAGAGAACUCGGGUGAAGGAACUAGGCAAAAUGGUGCCGUAACUUCGGGAGAAGGCACGCUGACACGUAGGUGAAGUGAUUUACUCAUGGAGCUGAAGUCAGUCGAAGAUACCAGCUGGCUGCAACUGUUUAUUAAAAACACAGCACUGUGCAAACACGAAAGUGGACGUAUACGGUGUGACGCCUGCCCGGUGCCGGAAGGUUAAUUGAUGGGGUCAGCGCAAGCGAAGCUCCUGAUCGAAGCCCCGGUAAACGGCGGCCGUAACUAUAACGGUCCUAAGGUAGCGAAAUUCCUUGUCGGGUAAGUUCCGACCUGCACGAAUGGCGUAAUGAUGGCCAGGCUGUCUCCACCCGAGACUCAGUGAAAUUGAACUCGCUGUGAAGAUGCAGUGUACCCGCGGCAAGACGGAAAGACCCCGUGAACCUUUACUAUAGCUUGACACUGAACAUUGAGCCUUGAUGUGUAGGAUAGGUGGGAGGCUUUGAAGUGUGGACGCCAGUCUGCAUGGAGCCGACCUUGAAAUACCACCCUUUAAUGUUUGAUGUUCUAACGUGGACCCGUAAUCCGGGUUGCGGACAGUGUCUGGUGGGUAGUUUGACUGGGGCGGUCUCCUCCUAAAGAGUAACGGAGGAGCACGAAGGUUGGCUAAUCCUGGUCGGACAUCAGGAGGUUAGUGCAAUGGCAUAAGCCAGCUUGACUGCGAGCGUGACGGCGCGAGCAGGUGCGAAAGCAGGUCAUAGUGAUCCGGUGGUUCUGAAUGGAAGGGCCAUCGCUCAACGGAUAAAAGGUACUCCGGGGAUAACAGGCUGAUACCGCCCAAGAGUUCAUAUCGACGGCGGUGUUUGGCACCUCGAUGUCGGCUCAUCACAUCCUGGGGCUGAAGUAGGUCCCAAGGGUAUGGCUGUUCGCCAUUUAAAGUGGUACGCGAGCUGGGUUUAGAACGUCGUGAGACAGUUCGGUCCCUAUCUGCCGUGGGCGCUGGAGAACUGAGGGGGGCUGCUCCUAGUACGAGAGGACCGGAGUGGACGCAUCACUGGUGUUCGGGUUGUCAUGCCAAUGGCACUGCCCGGUAGCUAAAUGCGGAAGAGAUAAGUGCUGAAA